AACCAUCCUGUACAAUGUAAUGUAAAUACCAGUAUCAGUCUUAACAGAUACAAAGUUCUUAUUUUGCAAGUAAGUAAAAAGUAGAACAAUAGGUGUGACUCAAUUUCAUAAUCCAUACAGGAGCAGCCAGCAAUAGGGAAUCAAAGUUUAAGUCGAUGAAGCUACAAGGAAAACAAAGGAGAGAAAUAUUUACCCACCAACAGUGUCAAACAUCUGUGACAUUGGAAUGACAUUUUCUGUCGAAACCAAUCCAUGGGAAGGCCUGAGUCCAAAUAUGCCACAAUAGGCAGCAGGAAUAUUGAGGAACCAGGAGAAGAGCCGGUGCAGGGACUGCUGACCCAGAGCGAAGUCGACGAGUUUUGCAGCAACUGCAACAGCUGAUCCACUGGAGGAUCCUCCAGGGACUCUAUCAGGAGCGCACGGAUUAGUCGGCGUGCCAUAGUGCGCGUUCUCCCCAUUUAUGCUGUGAAAGUUGAACUGGAUCUCAGUGGCCUCGUCAGCUUUGAUGCAAUUGCAGUCAUUCAGUCAA